ACCACGUGACCAAGUUGGCUCGGCAUCCCCUUCUCUUCCACAGAAGGUCAGGAAGGCGGCUGCUCUGUUCUUCCAGGCGCACUGCGGCGGCGAUUCCUCACCGGCGAGAUGUCUACAGACGGCCUCGAGCUCGAUGGGAAGUGGGGAGCAGACAUCGCCGGAUGGAAUUGUCCCAUGGCAAUACUCGGUGGCCUGCACCAAGUUUGCUAUCACAUGGGCUGUGAUUCGAAACAGCACAGGUGACAGAAUCCCAUGCGACCCGAUCCACCCUCGGCUUACCUUGUGGAGCAGACAGAGCCACGGGACAGCUUUCCCUCCCCAGUCCCGUCUCUUCCCCAUACGCGCAGGGGCGGCAAUGGCUCUGCUCUGGCGAGAUGUCCACUGACGGUGUGGAGCUCAACUGGGGCGUUGCCGGCCCGGCGGGAUGGAGUGGUUCCGCCUCCCGGUGGAGUCCCAAGAUUCCAUGAGUGACGGGGCCGGCAGGCACAUCCAUGUGAAGAUGAAGAUCGAUACGAAAUGUGCUCUAAAGCUACCAGUGGCUGGACACGAAGCAUCCAUGUUGAUAUCGUGCCGCCCAUGGCCGUGAUGGUCCCAGUGAAGUCACGGGCUUCAAUGAGAAACGCCGACGGACAAAUAUGCCGCGGUGACGGGUUCGAGAUGUGCUUUGGAGCUACUGGCGGCUGGACAAAAGGUGAGUCUUAUGAUUAUUAUUUAUGGAUAUGGAAAGAUGAGGUCCUUGCGUAUAUCUUCCGUUUGCAAGAUGAACUUGUCAUGGCGUGCCGCUUUCGGUCUGGUCAUUAAUCACGCCGUGGAUUGUAGAAAAUUAUUUGGAAAUAGCGCAACAGAGUGGUAUUCGAUGGUGAAGCAGCCACCCACGCUGAGUGGCUAAGGAAGCUCAAGAAAGAUUUUGUGAUCUUAGGUUACAGGAUCAGCCCUCAAAAUUUAACAUUUUUAGAAGGUUUUAGCAUUUAUUUGUCUGUCUGAUCUCCUGUUUUACAUAGGCUAGUUCAGUGCUUACUGUAUUCUAGUAAAAAGCCAUGUAAAACAACCAUAUCCCUAAUGUUAACCAUAGGUUAACAUUUUAAUAAAAAAGGAGUCUCUCCUGCUGUUUUCACUGGUCAAAAAAAAAAGAAUCCGUUGUUAUGUCUGAAAUAAGCCCCUGCUGCCUUCAAACUGUGAGUUCCUUAUCACUGUGAUAAGCUGUGCUGCGGGUAAACUCAAUGCAAUUUGUACAUAUGGAUUAUAGACAUAUCCUUAGUGUGUGCUCAUGAAAAUAAAUUUCGUGUUUACGUCUUAUUUUGUUAACCAAUGUGCCAUCAAUUUAUACAUGUGCCAACAUUUUUUCCUUAUUGUUGUAUAACCCACUGUGCCAACAAUUGUUAACCAAGUCAAUUUAUUUUGUUAGCGUUGUACAAUUUUUUUGUUGUGCCUAUUUUUCAUCUGAUCAUACAUGUUUUUGGUUGUGGAGUCUGUUACGCCAAAAGCAGACUGAAUGUCGAGAGGACAAAAUGUAUGCAAGAGCUUGUUUGCGGCGUAACUAUGACCAUCCGAGCCUAAUUUCCUCCAGCAAAAGAUGUAUGAAACAAAGACAUUACUGCUUCACCAUUGUAUGCUUUCUGUAACGGACUGUUUGUGUCAUCUAUUCAGUUGGAAAAACUGUAGUUUCGGCUUGUUCCUGUUAAAAUCCCAGAAAAUUUAAUAUUGGUCAUUUUGUA